rnacentral:rRNA from 1 species
AUCGGUGUAAGAAGGGCUCGCGUCUGAUUAGCUAGUUGGAAGGGUAAAGGCCUACCAAGGCGACGAUCAGUAGCCGGUCUGAGAGGAUGAACGGCCACAUUGGAACUGAGACACGGUCCAAACUCCUACGGGAGGCAGCAGUGGGGAAUAUUGCACAAUGGGGGGAACCCUGAUGCAGCGACGCCGCGUGAGCGAAGAAGGUUUUCGAAUCGUAAAGCUCUGUCCUAUGAGAAGAUAAUGACGGUAUCAUAGGAGGAAGCCCCGGCUAAAUACGUGCCAGCAGCCGCGGUAAUACGUAUGGGGCGAGCGUUGUCCGGAAUUAUUGGGCGUAAAGGGUACGUAGGCGGUUUUUUAAGUCAGGUGUGAAAGCGUGAGGCUUAACCUCAUUAAGCACUUGAAACUGGA